rnacentral:rRNA from 1 species
AGAGCGAACGCUGGCGGCAUGCUUAACACAUGCAAGUCGCACGGUCAGCAAUGGCAGUGGCGGACGGGUGAGUAACGCGUAGGAAUCUAUCCUGGGAUGGGGGACAACUGUGGGAAAACUACAGCUAAUACCGCAUGAUGCCUGAGGGCCAAAGACGUAAGUCGUCUUGGGAGGAGCCUGCGUCUGAUUAGCUUGUUGGUGGGUAAAGGCUUACCAAGGCGACGAUCAGUAGCUGGUCUGAGAGGAUGAUCAGCCACAUUGGGACUGAGACACGGGCCCCAAACUCCUACGGGAGGCAGCAGUGGGGAAUAUUGGACAAUGGGGGCAACCCUGAUCCAGCAAUGCCGCGUGUGUGAAGAAGGUCUUCGGAUUGUAAAGCACUUUUGGCAGGGACGAUGAUGACGGUACCUGCAGAAUAAGCCCGGCUAACUUCGUGCCAGCAGCCGCGGUAA